GUGCUGAAAAGUUUUCCCUCGAUACUCUUCAAUCUGGCUUCUACUGCUCUAUCAUUUAACUGAAAUGGAACAGACACGGGGUUUUGCCAUAGUGUCAAACUCUUGGACUCAAGCAAUCCGCCCACCUUGGCCUCCCAAAGUGCUGAGAUUACAGAGCUCAGAGUGGAGUUCAUGCAAAUCCCAUUUAUUCUCUAACUGGUGGAGCUGAGACUGCUGAAGCUGGGUAAGAGGCCAAGAUGUGGAACUCAUACUACAUAUAUUAUGAAAAUCCUGCCAUCUGCAGAAAAGAAAUACAAAAGAUGGUGUUAGGACCCUCUCCAAAUUAAAAUUCUGAAUUUCCAUGA
rnacentral:lncRNA from 10 species